GACGAACGCUGGCGGCGUGCCUAAUACAUGCAAGUAGAACGCUGAAGCGAGGAGCUUACUCUUCUUGGAUGAGUUGCGAACGGGUGAGUAACGCGUAGGUAACCUGCCUUGUAGCGGGGGAUAACUAUUGGAAACGAUAGCUAAUACCGCAUAACAAUGGAUGACACAUGUCAUUUAUUUGAAAGGGGCAAUUGCUCCACUACAAGAUGGACCUGCGUUGUAUUAGCUAGUAGGUGAGGUAAUGGCUCACCUAGGCGACGAUACAUAGCCGACCUGAGAGGGUGAUCGGCCACACUGGGACUGAGACACGGCCCAGACUCCUACGGGAGGCAGCAGUAGGGAAUCUUCGGCAAUGGGGGCAACCCUGACCGAGCAACGCCGCGUGAGUGAAGAAGGUUUUCGGAUCGUAAAGAUCUGUUGUAAGUCAAGAACGGGGGUGAGAGUGGAAAGUUCACACUGUGACGGUAGCUUACCAGAAAGGGACGGCUAACUACGUG
rnacentral:rRNA from 1 species